UACGUAGGGGGCUAGCGUUGUCCGGAUUUAUUGGGCGUAAAGAGCGUGUAGGCGGCCAGGUAGGUCUGGUGUGAAAACUUGAGGCUUAACCUCGAGAUGUCAUCGGAAACCAUCUGGCUAGAGUCCGGAAGAGGAGAGUGGAAUUCCUGGUGUAGCGGUGAAAUGCGCAGAUAUCAGGAAGAACACCAAUGGCGAAAGCAGCUCUCUGGGACGGUACUGACGCUGAGACGCGAAAGCGUGGGGAGCGAACAGG
rnacentral:rRNA from 1 species